GGAGGAAAGCAGGGGAUCGUAAGACCUCGCGCUAUUGGAGCGGCCGAUGUCCGAUUAGCUAGUUGGUGGGGUAAAGGCCCACCAAGGCGACGAUCGGUAGCUGGUCUGAGAGGAUGAUCAGCCACACUGGGACUGAGACACGGCCCAGACUCCUACGGGAGGCAGCAGUGGGGAAUUUUGGACAAUGGGCGCAAGCCUGAUCCAGCCAUGCCGCGUGAGUGAAGAAGGCCUUCGGGUUGUAAAGCUCUUUCGGCCGGAACGAAAUCGACCGGGCUAACACCCCGGUUGGAUGACGGUACCGGAAGAAGAAGCACCGGCUAACUACGUGCCAGCAGCCGCGGUAAUACGUAGGGUGCAGGCGUUAAUCGGAAUUACUGGGCGUAAAGCGUGCGCAGGCGGCUUCCUAAGUCAGAUGUGAAAUCCCCGGGCUUAACCUGGGAACUGCGUUUGAAACUACAAGGCUAG
rnacentral:rRNA from 1 species